AGCCCACAUUUCAGACCCUGGCUGCACUGAGGUUAAGAACAUUUUGUCAGCUGUUUCAGCUCAGCAAAUAUUUUGGACACAGUGUGGGACUGCAUGGUUGCUGAAGGAGGCUUGGAGAGCACCUGCUAGCACAGCAACUACUUCACUUGAGAUCAUCUGCAAGCAAAACCAGGUUAAACUCUCUGCAGCAUGGUACUCCCGUGGCAAGAAGUCAAAGGAAAAGCUCAGAUGACCCCUCCUAAAGGUUUUCUUUACAUGUAAAAGAAACUGAAGAUGGAAAUAAACUGGUAAUGAAAGGCUCCAGAAGGAUAUCUUGGAUUUUUUCCUGUACGUAUCACAAACUAUAAACAGAAAUUCUGCCUGCCCUGAGUAGGACCUUCUUUGGCCCCUUUCACAUAAUCAGCAUCCCUUUUCUUCCCAAACCUCGGUCAUGGGAAAUCAAAACUAAGGGAUGGGAAGUGUGAUGUCCAUCAGUGUUCCUGACUGGCACGUGAGAGCUUUGUCCAGCUGCUAAUUGGGAAGCUGCUCUGUGGUAAACACAAUAAAAUACACCUGGUAAGAUCAAUAUGUUGACUUAUGUGUGGGGAAAGUAAACUAGCAGGUAUAGAUUUUUGUUUGUUUGUUUUGUUUAUUUCCAGAAAUUUCAAAAGGACACUCAAUUAC